CACGUAGUUAGCCGGGGCUUCCUCCUCAAGUACCGUCAUUAUCUUCCUUGAGGACAGAGCUUUACGACCCGAAGGCCUUCAUCGCUCACGCGGCGUUGCUGCAUCAGGCUUGCGCCCAUUGUGCAAUAUUCCCCACUGCUGCCUCCCGUAGGAGUUUGGACCGUGUCUCAGUUCCAAUGUGGCCGAUCACCCUCUCAGGUCGGCUACUGAUCGUCGCCUUGGUGGGCCGUUACCCCGCCAACAAGCUAAUCAGACGCGGGUCCAUCCUGUACCGAAAAAUCUUUGAUAUAAAAGUCAUGCGACUCUUAUAUAUUAUCCCGUAUUAGCAUACCUUUCGGUAUGUUAUCCGUGUGUACAGGGUAGGUUACCCACGCGUUACUCACCCGUCCGCCGCUCUUCUCCGAAGAGAAUCGCUCGACUUGCAUGUGUUAGGCACGCCGCCAGCGUUCAUCCUGAGCCAGGAUCAAACUCU
rnacentral:rRNA from 1 species